rnacentral:rRNA from 1 species
UACGUAGGGUGCAAGCGUUAAUCGGAAUUACUGGGCGUAAAGCGUGCGCAGGCGGUUUUGUAAGUCUGUCGUGAAAUCCCCGGGCUUAACCUGGGAAUGGCCAUGGAAACUGGCGAACUGGAGUGCGGCAGAGGGGGGUGGAAUUCCGCGUGUAGCAGUGAAAUGCGUAGAGAUGCGGAGGAACACCGAUGGCGAAGGCAGCCCCCUGGGCUAGCACUGACGCUCAGGCACGAAAGCGUGGGGGGCAAACAGG